rnacentral:rRNA from 1 species
GUGAGGAAUUUUCCGCAAUGGGCGAAAGCCUGACGGAGCAAUGCCGCGUGAAGGAUGAAGGCCUAUGGGUUGUAAACUUCUUUUCUCAGAAAAGAAUUAUGACGGUAUCUGAGGAAUAAGCAUCGGCUAACUCUGUGCCAGCAGCCGCGGUAAGACAGAGGAUGCAAGCGUUAUCCGGAAUGAUUGGGCGUAAAGGGUCUGUAGGUUGUUUAAAAAGUAUUCUGUCAAAGAUUAGGGCUUAACCCUAGAUAGGCAGAAUAAACUUUUAAGCUAGAGUUUGGUAGAGGCAGAGGGAAUUCCCGGUGGAGCGGUGAAAUGCGUAGAUAUCGGGAGGAACACCAAAGGCGAAGGCACUCUGCUGGGCCAAUACUAACACUGAGAGACGAAAGCGAGGGGAGCAAAUGGGAUUAGAUACCCUGGUAGUCC